AAGAACUAUACACAUUGAGCAACACAAACCCCCAUCAAAAGCAACAAGGGACUCGUGUAUCCGGAAAGGUAAACAGUCCACACAAUUCUACAAAGAACGAUACAGAUUGAGCAACACAAACCCCCAUCAAAGGCCAGAGGGGACUCAUGUAUCCGGAAAGGUAAACAGUCCACACAAUUCUACAAAGAACGAUACAGAUUGAGCAACACAAACCCCCACCAAAGGCAACAGGGGACUUAUAUAUCCGGAAAGGUUACAGUCCACACAAUUCUACAAAGUCCAAUACAGAUUGAGCAACACAAACCCCCACCAAAGGCAACAGGGGACUCAUGUAUCCGGAGAGGUAAACAGUCCAAACAAUUCUACAAAGAACGAUACAUAUUGAUUAAUACAAACCCCCAUCAAAGAUCAGAGGGCACUCAUGUAUCCGGAAAGUUAAAGAGUCCACACAAUACUGCCAAGGAUGAUUCAAAUUGAGCAACACAAACCCCCACCAAAAGCCAGAGGGAACUCAUGUAUCCGUAAAGGUAAACAGUCCACACAAUUCUACAAAGAACGAUACAGAUUGAGCAACACAAACCCCCUAUCAAAGGCCAGAGGGAACCCAUGUAUCCGGAAAGGUAAACAGUACACACAAUUCUGCAAAGAACGAUACAGAUUGAGCAACACAAAACCCUAUCAAAGUCCAGAGGGAACUCAUGUAUCCGGAAAGGUAAACAGUCCACACAAUUCUACAAAGAACGAUACAGAUUGAGCAACACAAACCCCCAUCAAAGGCCAGAGGGAACUCAUGUA